UUAAGCAUAUCAAUAAGCGGAGGAAAAGAAACCAACAGGGAUUGCCCUAGUAACGGCGAGUGAAGCGGCAACAGCUCAAAUUUGAAAUCUGGCGUAAGCCCGAGUUGUAAUUUGUAGAGGAUGCUUCUGGGUAGCGGCCGGUCUAAGUUCCUUGGAACAGGACGUCAUAGAGGGUGAGAAUCCCGUAUGUGACUGGCUUGCACCCUCCACGUAGCUCCUUCGACGAGUCGAGUUGUUUGGGAAUGCAGCUCUAAAUGGGAGGUAAAUUUCUUCUAAAGCUAAAUACCGGCCAGAGACCGAUAGCGCACAAGUAGAGUGAUCGAAAGAUGAAAAGCACUUUGGAAAGAGAGUUAAAAAGCACGUGAAAUUGUUGAAAGGGAAGCGCCCGCAACCAGACUUUGCGGCGGUGUUCGGCUGGUCUUCUGACCGGUUUACUCGCCGCCGUGAGGCCAUCAUCGUCUGGGACCGCUGGAUAAGACCUGAGGAAUGUAGCUCCCUUCGGGGUGUGUUAUAGCCUCUGGUGAUGCAGCGCGUCUCGGGCGAGGUCCGCGCUUCGGCAAGGAUGAUGGCGUAAUGGUUGUCGGCGGCCCGUCUUGAAACACGGACCAAGGAGUCUAACAUCUAUGCGAGUGUUCGGGUGUCAAACCCCUACGCGUAAUGAAAGUGAACGGAGGUGGGAACUUUUUGUGCACCAUCGACCGAUCCUGAUGUCCUCGGAUGGAUUUGAGUAAGAGCAUAGCUGUUGGGACCCGAAAGAUGGUGAACUAUGCCUGAAUAGGGUGAAGCCAGAGGAAACUCUGGUGGAGGCUCGCAGCGGUUCUGACGUGCAAAUCGAUCGUCAAAUUUGGGUAUAGGGGCGAAAGACUAAUCGAACCAUCUAGUAGCUGGUUCCUGCCGAA
rnacentral:rRNA from 1 species